rnacentral:rRNA from 1 species
GUGCCUACGGGGGGCAGCAGUGGGGAAUAUUGCACAAUGGGGGAAACCCUGAUGCAGCGACGCCGCGUGAGUGAAGAAGCGUUUCGGCGCGUAAAGCUCUGUCAGCGGGGAAGAAACACGGUUCGCGAGAGCCGCGGACGGUACCCGACCAAGAAGCCCCGGCUAACUACGUGCCAGCAGCCGCGGUAAUACGUAGGGGGCAAGCGUUAUCCGGAUUUACUGGGUGUAAAGGGAGCGUAGACGGAGGAGCAAGUCUGAUGUGAAAAUCCGGGGCCCAACCCCGGAACUGCAUUGGAAACUGUUUA